rnacentral:rRNA from 1 species
GAUGAACGCUGGCGGCGUGCCUAAUACAUGCAAGUCGAGCGAACAGACGAGGAGCUUGCUCCUCUGACGUUAGCGGCGGACGGGUGAGUAACACGUGGAUAACCUACCUAUAAGACUGGGAUAACUUCGGGAAACCGGAGCUAAUACCAGAUAACAUGUUGAACCGCAUGGUUCAACAGUGAAAGACGGUCUUGCUGUCACUUAUAGAUGGAUCCGCGCCGCAUUAGCUAGUUGGUAAGGUAACGGCUUACCAAGGCAACGAUGCGUAGCCGACCUGAGAGGGUGAUCGGCCACACUGGAACUGAGACACGGUCCAGACUCCUACGGGAGGCAGCAGUAGGGAAUCUUCCGCAAUGGGCGAAAGCCUGACGGAGCAACGCCGCGUGAGUGAUGAACGUCUUCGGAUCGUAAAACUCUGUUAUUAGGGAAGAACAAAUGUGUAAGUAACUAUGCACGUCUUGACGGCACCUAAUCAGAAAGCCACGGCUAACUACGUG